rnacentral:lncRNA from 1 species
UUCCGAUUCCCGCUCUUGAGAUUGGACUCUCACGUGCAGGAGCCAGUCCUCGCUGGGCUCUAGCGGGCUUCUGAUGGAGGAGCUACUCCUCUGGGAGGACAGAGUAGGUGGGCUCUGCUGCAGGUCCGGGCGGCGGGUUGUGAGGGCCGAGGUGGCACGGUGUAUGAAGGCCUGUGUUUGAAGACUUAGGUCAGACCUUUUGCCCGCCUUUCCCCUAUGCAGCUCUAUGCAACUGUCUGUGCAAGGUCCUGUAAUUUGCGUAGGACGCCUUGACACAGUCUCUGCUUAUGGACGCUUUACAAAACUAUCUUGCAAAGAAAUAAGUACUAUACAGGAUAAGGUUCUGAGAUACUGACAGGGCUGGAACUAGGGUGAGAUAAGUGUAAAAUGUAAAUGGAUGCCAAUAAAAUUCAGUAAUCAAGAAUUAGCAGCAGCCUCUGUCACCAUCCAAAGAUUACAACCCAUGAAACCAUUGAAUUUGUGCCUUGUAUCAGAAAGCAAAGGAGAAUGAAAAAGCACAGCUAACAUUGCUUGAGGAUCUAGGCGAUUAAUUCUUUAGACUGUCAUCAUGGGUAUCCGAGGACUAAUG